GAUCGCAGUGAUGACUUUUUGUAAUUCAAGCUCAACAGACCUGAUUACAAGCUCUCAAAUGAGAGCGUGUAUGUCGAUAACCAGCUCUGAGCGAUC